GACUCAGGGGAUCACAUCGCUGAGGGCCAGCAAUAUUUGAAAUAAGCUCCCCACACUACUUCUAUAUGUCAAAUUGCAAUAGCGCAGAUCAUAUAAAACUCAACGAAAUAAUUGCAAUAUUUCUAUGGCAGCCAGCUUGGAAUUUAAGAUGACCAGUCAGAGCGCCACGCGUAUGCUAAUGAGCACGAUCGCUGAAAUUUAUUCAGAAUCCCAUCCGCCCGAAAAUCAUCUAGCGGGACUCUCGUAGAUCGCGAGAUAUCACGAGAGUCAUGCAGGUCUCGUUUUAAUGACGUCAUACUCUUCACUGGAAAAGCCAAGAUGGAAGAAUGCAACCAUCACCUUCACAUCUGGCUGGAUGCCAAGUUCUUUUGAUAGGAGACUCAAUUGUGCGACACGCUGUUUUUAAUGGACCCUUUUCUUCUGAAACUUUGUGCUUUCCAGGGGCUAAUGUUACAUCGUUAAGAUCAUCAUUCGUCAAAUCUUUCAGAAUUACUUCGACUUUUCUACAAAGGCUGUUUUCAUCCAUAUAGGAACAAACAAUUUAGAACAUAGUGUUUGGGAAAAGGAUUCCAAAGCAUUUCAUAAUUUGUAUAUUAGUGUUAGAGAGCAAUUUCGGUGUGCAAAGAUUAUUAACUGUUUGGGAUAAAGUACAGAUUCCCAUAUACUAUUAUCCAGACAUUGAAUUAUAUGGCUUUGUUGUAUCCAGGGAUGAUGGGGAAGUACAUGUAGCAUGCCAGUGGGACACAGAUGAAAGUAUUGAAAAGAUUAAAUCAAAUGUUUUAUAUCUCACAAGGGGUUGUUCUUGUGCCAAGAGCAAAUGUCAUAACCGUUUAUGUAAAUGUAGAAAAGAGGGUAGAUUUUGUGGGCCAGGUUGCCGCUGUAGACAGUGCCAAAAUCUUACUGCUGUAGAGAAACUGGCAAGUGAUAGCGACUCCAGUGAAGAAGAUUCUGAUAUUGAUCAUUUUGAUUAUGAUUCUGAUUUUGAUGAAGUUCCUUGUGAUAAAACAAAUAUCGAAGGUACCAUUGAAAUCGACAUUGAUGGUGAUUUAUCUCUGUUUGAAGAUUUGCAGGAAGACUGUUCAGAUUAUGAGUAGGCAUUCUCUGUGUCAUGUUCUUGUAGCCCUUUAAAAUCAUUCAUCAGUCAUUUAAUCAGUCUAUUAUAUGCCAGUAUUCAUUGGCUGCUGUGAGGGUGAAGUUUGUUACAUUGAAUCAAUUCAUGAUAGCUAUUACUUUUAUAUUAUGUACAUGUUUUUUUAAUGGUUAUAAUUUUUGUUUAAAGAACAUUUAUAAGAAGGCAUGACAGGCAAUGUGGAAAUGUUGGUGAGCAUUUACACAUGUUUUUUAUGCAUGUGAUACCUUUUUAUUUGUAUAUCAUUAAGUGUCUGCAACAUUACACUAUUUCCACAUUAUGCAUAACAGAAGAAGUUGAACUAUUUUUUUUUUCACAAGUAUGCACAUUUUUCAUAUAUUUAACGUACCUUGCCAUGUUAUGUUUAUUCUUGCUUUUUACUGCAAUACAUAUGAGUCAGUGUAUGUAUACGUUUCUUGCCAGUUCCAUUGAGGUCUUGCAGGUCAAUCAUUUUGGUAGCUGAAAUAAUAGUUGUCGUAGUUGUAUGAAACAAAUGUGAAGUUUCUUACGACAAUUGUGAGGCUUAAGCAGAAUACAUGAUGGUUACAUGUAUUUUGUUAGAUUGGCUAAUUAUUUCAUUAGCAAUAUAUAGAGGUGCAGUACAUGUAUUUCCUCUUGAACUUUGACGCAGCUUUUUUCAAUAUGUGUGUGAUUUACAAUAUCCUAUAAAACAGUUGUGUAUAUUAUUAUUAUUAUUUUGCCCUGUUGUUGCUUUGCUUUUGCUACUUAUGAUUAUGAUUAUGUAAAUGUGUAACUUUUUUUGCUUACAUACAUGUAUUGAACCUUUUGUACAAGUUGUCAUGAUGGUGAGCAUUGAACUACCCUUGUUCCUACUUUUACAUGUACAUUAUAUAUAUUUUCAUGAUCACCUCUUUAUAAAUUGUUUUUCCUUGUCAUUUAGAUAGUGCAUUGUGGCAGUUUCUUGCAGGUCAAUCAUUUUGGCAACUCAGAUAAUAGUUUUUGUAGUUACAUGUAUAUGAAACAAAUGAUAAGUUUCUUACAGCAAUUGUGAGGCUUAAGCUAAAUACAUGAUGGUUACAUGUAUUUUGUUAGAUUGGCUAAUUAUUUCAUUAGCAAUAUAUAGAGGUGCAGUACAUGUAUUUCCUCUUGAACUUUGACGCAGCUUUUUCAAUGUUUGUGAUUUACAAUAUCCUAUAAAACAGUUGUGUAUAUUAUUUUACCCUGCUGUUGCUGUUCCUACUUAUGAUUAUGUAAAUGUGUAAAUUUUUUGUUUAUAUGUUGAAGCACUUGUACAAGUUGUCAUGAUGGUGAGCAUUGAACUACCCUUGUUCCUACUUUUACAUGUACAUUAUGUAUAUUUUCAUGAUCACCUUUUUAUAAAUUGUUUUUUCCUUGCCAUUUAGAGAGUGCAUAGUGGCAGUUUUAACAUCUCAUACACAUGUUAACAAUGGGGACAUAAUUACAGUUGGUGAUACGUAUAUUGACCCCAGUAAUUCCAUAUAUUGUAAUAUGUAUUACCUAGAUAUACAUGUAUGUAAACGUAUGGCUGAAUUAUUUCUUUUAUGAGGCAGUUUUGAUGGCACUGACUUCUGUAUACAAAGAUUAUUUCACUUGUUUCCUGUCAUGACUACCAAAGUAAUUUCACUGAUGACGGGCUUUCCUAAACAAUACAUUCCUUGUUUAUAAAAUUGUUUUAACUCAUAUUUACCUCAACUACUGUCUGCUUGCCAAAGACAUUCAGGGAGCAUUAGAUGUAAAACUGCCUUUAUCUUUAUUAACAUGUUUGAUUGUAAAACAAAAACAGUAUUCACUUAUACUCUCUUCAUGUACUUGCCUUGAAUGAUAUUAGGUGCCAAAGUUUUUUGUUUGUAUUUAUAUGUUUUGUAAACAUGAAUUUCAAGAGUUUGAUGUUGGAAAUAAACUCUUUUUUUCUUGUUAAAAUUGA